UACGUAGGGUGCAAGCGUUAAUCGGAAUUACUGGGCGUAAAGCGUGCGCAGGCGGUGAUGUAAGACAGUUGUGAAAUCCCCGGGCUCAACCUGGGAACUGCAUCUGUGACUGCAUCGCCGGAGUGCGGCAGAGGGGGAUGGAAUUCCGCGUGUAGCAGUGAAAUGCGUAGAUAUGCGGAGGAACACCGAUGGCGAAGGCAAUCCCCUGGGCCUGCACUGACGCUCAUGCACGAAAGCGUGGGGAGCAAACAGG
rnacentral:rRNA from 1 species